rnacentral:rRNA from 1 species
ACGCACGUGUGAAACUUGAAGGAAUUGACGGAAGGGCACCACAAGAACGCGUGGAGCAUGUGGCUUAAUUUGACUCAACGCGGGAAAUCUUACCGGGUCCGGACACACUGAGGAUUGACAGGCAAUAUUAAAAUUCAAGCGUGCACUUCGGUGUUUCGUUUUGAAUUUUAUGUUAAAUAUGCUAGUCCUUUCAUGAUUAUGUGAUAGGUGGUGCAUGGCCGUUCUUAGUUCGUGGAGUGAUCUGUCUGCUUAAUUGCGUUUCACUAAGGGCUUAUAAUUUUAACGUGUGUUGUCAGUACUUUGACCCCAACUUUGAAAUAUAAGUUGUGAGUGUCUUAGUUUGCUUGACUCGCACAAAUGAGUCCUGAAAGCAACGAACGUGACCG